rnacentral:rRNA from 1 species
GACGAACGCUGGCGGCAUGCCUAAUACAUGCAAGUCGAGCGGAGUUGAUGGAAAGCUUGCUUUCCUGAUGCUUAGCGGCGGACGGGUGAGUAACACGUAGGCAACCUGCCCUCAAGCUUGGGACAACUACCGGAAACGGUAGCUAAUACCGAAUACUUGUUUUCUUCGCCUGAAGAGAACUGGAAAGACGGAGCAAUCUGUCACUUGGGGAUGGGCCUGCGGCGCAUUAGCUAGUUGGUGAGGUAACGGCUCACCAAGGCGACGAUGCGUAGCAGACCUGAGAGGGGGAUCGGCCACACUGGGACUGAGACACGGCCCAGACUCCUACGGGAGGCAGCAGUAGGGAAUCUUCCGCAAUGGGCGAAAGCCUGACGGAGCAAUGCCGCGUGAGUGAUGAAGGUUUUCGGAUCGUAAAGCUCUGUUGCCAGGGAAGAACGCUUGGGAGAGUAACUGCUCUCAAGGUGACGGUACCUGAGAAGAAAGCCCCGGCUAACUACGUGCCAGCCGCCGCGGUAA